CGCGUAGGUGGUUUGGUCAGUCAGAUGUGAAAGCCCCGGGCUCAACCUGGGAACUGCACCUGAUACUGCCAAACUAGAGUACGGUAGAGGGUAGUGGAAUUUCCGGUGUAGCGGUGAAAUGCGUAGAGAUCGGAAGGAACACCAGUGGCGAAGGCGACUACCUGGACCGAUACUGACACUGAGGUGCGAAAGCGUGGGUAGCAAACA
rnacentral:rRNA from 1 species